AGUGAACGCUGGCGGUAGGCCUAACACAUGCAAGUCGAACGGCAGCACCGUAAGUGCUUGCUCUUACGGGUGGCGAGUGGCGGACGGGUGAGGAAUACAUCGGAAUCUACUUUUUCGUGGGGGAUAACGUAGGGAAACUUACGCUAAUACCGCAUACGACCUACGGGUGAAAGCAGGGGAUCUUCGGACCUUGCGCGAUUGAAUGAGCCGAUGUCGGAUUAGCUAGUUGGCGGGGUAAAGGCCCACCAAGGCGACGAUCCGUAGCUGGUCUGAGAGGAUGAUCAGACAGACUGUAACUGAGACACGGUCCAGACUCCUACGGGAGGCAGCAGUGGGGAAUAUUGGACAAUGGGCGAAAGCCUGAUCCAGCCAUACCGCGGGGGUGAAGAAGGCCUUCGGGUUGGAAAGCCCUGUUGUUGGUAAAGAAAAGCAGCAGGUUAAUCCCCCGCUGUUCUGACGGUACCCAAAGAAUAAGCACCGGCUAACUUCGUG
rnacentral:rRNA from 1 species